GAGUGACUGCUCAGCUCCACUCAUCAUAGCAAUAUUUGCCUUUUUAAGUGCCAGUUCUUCCAAACGCGUGCUUAAUCAGAAUGUAGAGAAGCAUCAACCAAAUAAAAGGGGCCCCUCUCUUAUGCCUGUCCCUAUGGGGUGGGCUGGGGGUGCUGAGGAAGACCUGCCGCUCUCCACCCAUCCACAGGCCCUAUCACAGCAGAGGCGGUGAGAGCAUCACCUCCAGCCCUGCCCUUGGCCGUUUGGGCAAGAGGCUGCUUCCCUGGAUUCUGGUUCAAGUUCUCAGACGGUGGGCUCCCACGUCAGUGAUGUUCAAAACCGGAAGAGUGCCGGAAGUCAGAGCGGGAUCUGAAGUGCGACAGACCUGGGUUCAAAGCCCUGCUCCCGGCUGUGUGACCAUAGCAAGUGACUUGCUCUCUCUGGGCCCAAAUCCUCUUCCCUGGGGCCAUUUCCAAGCCUGCCAAACGCCUCUGUGUGAGUAGGGGUGAGGUGGCCUUCUCGGUGGACGUGGCCCUCCACAUGUUCUUGGGGGCCCAUCACAGCAUCUCUCUUGAGGGGUGGACUGGGACAGUGGGUGGAGAUGCCCGGACCAGCACCUGGCCACAGUGCACAGGUCAGCAGCUAGUGGAGAGAUUUCCCCCUCCUGUCUUGGUCCUGCCCCAGCCCCUGCCCCUGCCCCAAGACUUUUAAGGGCUUGUGCAGCCCCCUCAAAUGAACAGAUUCAAAACAAGAUAUUCCAAACUGAACUGAAUAACUCGCAGGACUGUGCAGAAUGAAAAAGGUGGACAUACCAGCCGUUGGCAAGGAUGCUGGGCCAACGGGCCCCCCAUGCUGCUGGUGAGGAUUUAGUGUCCAGCCACCCUGGAUGACAGUUUGGCAGAAUCAACUCAAGCGAACGACUUGCAACUCCUUGACCCAGCCGUGCUGUCCCCUGGGAAUAGAUCUGACCGAGGUGUGGGCCAAUGUUCACCAAAAGGCAGGGAGGAGAGGUCGUUCGUAGCAGCGGCUCCUCCUUCAACAGGAACUGUGAGCCACCAGAUGGAAGGAUGAGGAGGAUUUGCUGCAUCCACAUAAUGGAGUACGACACAGCGGUGGAAAGGAGCAGCUGACAGCCAGACACAAGGUGGGUGACGCUUACAAACCGAAUGUUCAGGAAAAAAGGCCAGACCCCCGAAAACACGUAUCAUCCUGUUUUGUUUGCCUGACUUUCUCUGACAGGCAAAACUAAUCUGGGGGGGGUAGGGGUGAGAAUCAGGGCAAUGGUUCCCCCUGGGAGGCGAGGCUGUCCC
rnacentral:lncRNA from 12 species